rnacentral:sRNA from 1 species
UUCCGGGAUUUGUUUGGUUUUUACCAAGCUCUUCUAUCAGUUUUUCAAGUAGUGUAAAAAAAGAAAAUCCUCUAGAAGACUUCUUUUUAACAAACUGCAUUUUAACUUUUUUUAAAGGGUAAAAGUUUACACAAAAACCGAUGGCCUGGUUGCUGUUCAUCCUAAAUCUGUUAAUGUGGAGCAAACAGACUUUCACUACAACUGGCUUAUCUAUCACCUAAAGAUGAGAACAAGCAGUAUAUACUUGUAUGACUGCACAGAGGUUUCCCCAUACUGUCUCUUGUUUUUUGGAGGUGACAUUUCCAUCCAGAAGGAUAACGAUCAGGAAACUAUUGCUGUAGAUGAGUGGAUUGUAUUUCAGUCUCCAGCAAGAAUUGCCCAUCUUGUUAAGGAAUUAAGAAAGGAACUAGAUAUUCUUCUGCAAGAGAAGAUUGAAAGUCCUCAUCCUGUAGACUGGAAUGACACUAAAUCCAGAGACUGUGCAGUACUGUCAGCUAUUAUAGACUUGAUCAAAACACAGGAAAAGGCAACUCCCAGGAACUUUCUGCCACGAUUCCAGGAUGGAUAUUACAGCUGACAGCUUUUCAGGGGUGGUCUGAAAAGCCAGUUUGACAGCCAUUCUUCAUCAUUGUUUAAAUUUUGGCUGGAUGCCAAACCCUGGGACAUGAACAAUUUUCAUGUGUAAGGUAGAAACCUUCAGUAGGUAGUAAAGACUUAAU